ACCUGCCUGGCUCAGUUGGUAGAGCAUGGGGUUCUUAAAUCUCAGGGUUGUGAGUUUGAGCCCCACGUUGGGUG
rnacentral:tRNA from 1 species